AUAAAAACCCGCCGGAGCGGGUUU
rnacentral:sRNA from 1 species